CUACGGUGCUGAAGCAACAAAUGCCCUGCUUCCAGGAAAAGCCUCUAAGCCUCAGGUAACAUCAGAUCGUACCCGAAACCGACACAGGUGGUCAGGUAGAGAAUACCAAGGCGCUUGAGAGAACCCGGGUGAAGGAACUAGGCAAAAUGGUGCCGUAACUUCGGGAGAAGGCACGCUGACACGUAGGUGAAGCGGUUUACCCGUGGAGCUGAAGUCAGUCGAAGAUACCAGCUGGCUGCAACUGUUUAUUAAAAACACAGCACUGUGCAAACACGAAAGUGGACGUAUACGGUGUGACGCCUGCCCGGUGCCGGAAGGUUAAUUGAUGGGGUCAGCGCAAGCGAAGCUCCUGAUCGAAGCCCCGGUAAACGGCGGCCGUAACUAUAACGGUCCUAAGGUAGCGAAAUUCCUUGUCGGGUAAGUUCCGACCUGCACGAAUGGCGUAAUGAUGGCCAGGCUGUCUCCACCCGGGACUCAGUGAAAUUGAACUCGCUGUGAAGAUGCAGUGUACCCGCGGCAAGACGGAAAGACCCCGUGAACCUUUACUAUAGCUUGACACUGAACACUGGUCCUUGAUGUGCAGGAUAGGUGGGAGGCUUUGAAGUGUGGACGCCAGUCUGCAUGGAGCCGUCCUUGAAAUACCACCCUUUAAUGGCUGGUGUUCUAACGUAGACCCGUGAACCGGGUUGCGGACAGUGUCUGGUGGGUAGUUUGACUGGGGCGGUCUCCUCCUAAAGCGUAACGGAGGAGCACGAAGGUUGGCUAAUCCUGGUCGGACAUCAGGAGGUUAGUGCAAUGGCAUAAGCCAGCUUGACUGCGAGCGUGACGGCGCGAGCAGGUGCGAAAGCAGGUCAUAGUGAUCCGGUGGUUCUGAAUGGAAGGGCCAUCGCUCAACGGAUAAAAGGUACUCCGGGGAUAACAGGCUGAUACCGCCCAAGAGUUCAUAUCGACGGCGGUGUUUGGCACCUCGAUGUCGGCUCAUCACAUCCUGGGGCUGAAGUAGGUCCCAAGGGUAUGGCUGUUCGCCAUUUAAAGUGGUACGCGAGCUGGGUUUAGAACGUCGUGAGACAGUUCGGUCCCUAUCUGCCGUGGGCGCUGGAGAACUGAGGGGGGCUGCUCCUAGUACGAGAGGACCGGAGUGGACGCAUCACUGGUGUUCGGGUUGUCAUGCCAAUGGCACU
rnacentral:rRNA from 1 species